GGCAAUGGGCAAGACGCCUGAUCCAGCCAGAUAGUAAGAGUGGUACUAACACUCAAAAGAAAAAACAAAACAAUGAUAGAAGUUUUCAUUAUAUCCUGACUAAUUUCGUGCCAGCAGUCGCGGCAAUACGUGAAGGAUAAGCGUAAUUCAUCAUCACUAGGUAUCAAGCGUCUGUAGGCGGCGAAUGUGAGCUAGAGUCUGACUAGGAAAUUGGAAUUUAAUAAGUAAGGAUAAAAUCUGUUGAUUUAUUAAAGAAUUUUAUGCGAAGGCAUAUUUCUCUGAACGACUGACGCUAAGAGACUAAAGUGUGGGUAGCGAAAAGGA
rnacentral:rRNA from 1 species